rnacentral:lncRNA from 1 species
GCCCUGCCUCCGGCGUCCUGCCCUGUCCCGUCCCAGGAGCCCUCAUCUUCUGGGCUGUGGUUUCCCUCCUGUUUCAGCUCAGGGGGUUCUCUAGCACAAGCCAGGGCCAUCUCAGGGGGGCUUUUAAGGGCUCAGAGAAGGUGCUGAUCUUUCUUUACCACUCUCAGUGACUCAGGCCUAGAGCAGGGAGAAAGCAGCCAUUCUGGGGGCUGUGGAAUCGUGAGGGGUGAAUGUGGAAGAAUGGGAAGGUAAAGCGAGGCCUCACGUUUUCUCUCUUCAGAGGAGAGAUCUUCUUAUCACACAUUGAUGGGGGCUGGGUUAUGACGGGAGGCAGAGCACCGUAGGCCUCCCUCUUCACAGGCUCAUCAAGUUCUUGUUUCCUCCCCACCGGAGUGUCAGGGAGAAUCGACUGUCAAUAUUGUGGGUGAAGUUUGGGGGCCUGAGCCCUUGAGGACCUGGGCUCCCAGCAAUCCUGGCUUUGCCAUUUGCUCUCUGUGGGUAGGAUUCAGACUAGGGCCCAGCGUUGCUUUAUGCCUCAGUUUCUCCAGUUGUACCGGGAGGUAAAAUGCUUGUUCGGCCCAUGCUCAUUUGUCUCUCAGAGCCACAGUGCACCAUGGGAAUGGGGUGAUCCGUAGCUCCAUUCACAGAUGGGAAAAGGAGGCCGAGAGGUGGGUCAGGAGAGCCUGGGCCUGGGGGUCAAUCCCGGGCCGGAAGCUCUGGCUCUGAGAAUGUGGCCAAGCAGCUUGAGAAGAGGCUCCAGGGGGCCACUGGGCAGCAGAACCCAGCCUUUUCACAUCUCUAAUUUUCUUUAGUCUACCCUCCAGUCCCUCAUUGCCUGGGGUUCACAACUCCAUCCCAGCUGAGGCUGGUCCCUUCCCCCCACUUCCCAAUUAUGGUUGUUCACAAAAGCUGAACCAUGACCAGACAAAGGGACAGGGAUGAAAGUGUUGGUUGUCAUGGCAACCUGGUAGGGUUGCUGGGACCCAGGGGAGGGGCCUGGCUGUGUGCCUGAGCCCAUGCAUCCCAAGGAUCUCUGAGCAUGAGCCAGGGUGGCCCAGGGGCUCACAGGAAUUCCCCUUCUGCUCUGAGCCCACCAGAGCUGGCUAUACAAUGAUAACUUCACCCCCCUCGCCCCCCAUGGGCAGCACCUGCUCCCUGGGUCUCCCCUGGUGGCCCUAUUAUCCCGCACCUGCUGCUUCCCCACCUGCUCCCUAUUCUUAGCCCCCUCCCCAUAGCACACCCUGUUCAUCACUAGGCCCAGCUGCCUGCUCUGACAGCCAGCCAGGAAGGGGUAAUAGAACCAGGAGAGGUAGCAUGGAGGGCCCAAGGACAGAGGGUCCAGAGGCCAGUCCAGCUCUGUUUGACUAGUAGUGUGUAUGCUUACAAUGGACUCCAUCUCAGGGCCUCAGUCUCCCCACCUGUGAAGUAGGAACCGCAAGCCCUGACCUCAACUUUCUACAAAAACUUUACUGCUUGGAAGAUCUUAGGCCAUCGUGUUUCAAGAUCUGAGUUACAGAGGACAACCAGGUUGGGGAGAGGAGGGAGGUGAUGUGCCUUCGGCUGUAUUCCCAGGGCUAUGUCUGUUAGACUACAAGGAGGCCAGGGCAUUUCUCUGAUUACUGAAGAAUCCUUUGUGGGCUAUUUAAGUAAGGUGUGGACCCAGCCUGGGUGCCAGGCAACAGGUAGAUGAAUAAGGAAACUGUGAUUAUACAACAUGGAGGCUUAUCCUACCGCAAGAAUCAGUGCUGUGUGCAGGAAAAGAAAUGGGGCUGCAAAGCCUUGUGUUACAUCAAAGAAGCCAGAUGCAGAAAGACAGAAGCCACGAUCUCUCCCACGAAAGAAGUGGACCAUGAGGACAAAGAGCGGGACAAGGGAGGGUGACGCAACCUUCACGUGCAUGAAGAUGCUAAUGGUUCAUAUUUUAUAUCCUGAAGAAAGAAAUCAAAAGAACUAAAACAAUCCCCAUAGUUAAAACAGAACAAAGCAGAAAAAAAGAAUCACUUCUGGGGCUGGAGGUGAUGUUUCUGAAAAAGGGUCCCGAGGAACUGAAACCACAGUGAUGUGUCACAGAGAAAUGACAACUCACUUUUCCCAGAUGUGAGCUCUCAGCUAUUCCUGCCAUCAUGCCUGCUGCUUGCUGCUGUGAUUCCCAACUGUAACGGGGAUGGAGUCCUAUCCCCCUAGAACCAUUAGUCCAACAUAAAUCCUUCUGCACGUUU